GCUACCAGUGCAAAAAAUCAAGAAAGAAGCCGAAGCCAAUUGUGAUGCUUGAUUCAGACAAGAUUGAGGAUGACAAAGAUGAGGAGGACAAAGACUCGGACAUACGAACAAUCAAAACCCAGUUACGUUCCAUUCUUCAUAAGAAAUACCUUGUUCCUGUGCCGUUGUGAGCGCGCAUUCGACGAAAAUCACAAAGCAUUUUUUCAACAGAAUGGCGAACAGGUGAUCCGGUCAUGAUUUUUUUGGUGUCCUGGAGGAUUACAUCUACACGAACGAUAUGUUGCCGGAAUUUCGUGAAAUGGUGCAUCAGCUGGACGAUGGCCAUGGAGUGGUUUGGCCCAAUGCGACAUUUCGGCAAUGAAUGAUUUAAUAGAUCCGUACGUGACGAACACAAAAAACAACUUGAAGACGCAUAGCAAGAAACGCCUGCGCGAAUGGCUGCGGGUAAAAGUGUUCGAAUCUUCGUUGGUUGUUUGAUACGAAGAGGCCGACAUCGACCGUGUGAUUAGUUUGGCAAUUUUUGGUAAAGACGAUAUUGAAAUCAAUGGCAUGGAUGAUGUUGCCAAACGUGAGCGGCGUACGUUGUUGAUUGAAAUGGCCACAGACAACAGUUGGUGGGACAUACCAAACAACAACAUCGGCCGAUUCACAAAGGGAGAGAACUGGUUCAAGAGCAUCGCAUUCUGGAUUUCCCUCCAGCGGCAAUUGGAUGAAUUCAACACAUGUGUGAGAUAUCGUGAAGUACGCCGAUGCCAACGUGAAGAGUUUCAAGAGCUGAAACGAUGCCGACGUCGAAAUCACCGUCCGUGCACUUGCCAGCAGCCGACAGACCGAGGCCAACAUAAGUACAUCGAGAAAGGGCCGCCGAGAGUGAAAAAUCUGGCAGUGAUUCCCAUUUGCAGUUUCACUCGUACCCACUUGGACAAUCGAACAUUGUACUCUUUGUUGUGUGGACUGAAAAUCGCACCGAAAAAGCAAGGCGAAUACAACCAAAUUUUCAUCACACGCGAAUAGUUCAUAAAACAAAAGGAGUUGUAUUGGAACGAAUUCUUCGAUAUGCGGAAAAUCUAUCGGCUCGGUCGCAGUAGAAAAAAGUUCCGUUCCCAAAUUCUCUCACAGGCCGUAUCGCUACAAUUUGAUAUUGACAAAACGAAAAUGAGCAACAUGGAAUCGGACAAAAAGGCCAUUGUUCAAAACUACAAAAAGUUUGUCAAUGAAGGUGGAACUGAUCCGGGUAUGAAUACGUGGAACGCAACAACGGUACAUAACAUUGAAACUGGCAAAGAGACGAACUACACGAUCAGCAGCAAACAGUAUCAUUACUGGACGAAGCAAAAGGGUCGAAAUCGACAGGGAAAUCGGUGGACCAAGGACUUUGUCAAGGAAGAGAGGUGGGAUCGUAAAAAUCGUGCGCUCUAUUCGGUGAUGCCAUCGCCAUUGGGUAGGCAAUGGAAGGACAACAUUCAGCAUCGACUCAAAAGGACGGAACGUGGCAUUGCCGUGUAUACGACAGACAAAUACACGAGACCGAAUUUUGACAAGUAUGUUCGAUCAAACAGUGUGACCGAUAGCAUAGCCGGAAUGUUGACCAACCAUCAGCCAUCUCUUAUGCAUUUCGGAGCUGUCAAAUGUCGCUCAGUUCACCCAUCGGCAUCAAAAAGACACUGCGCUACCCGGGCAAUCGGAAGAUGAUACGGAAAAAGUGUCCUGGUUGUGUGGUUAAUAUGGUCGACGAGUAUUAAACUUCACUAACAUGCGCCAAGUGCUUUGGCCGUUUUGAUCGACGCACGAAACAACAUCUGUUCAAAGUCUGCCAUGAUUGUCGGCCGCAACCGGAACGAGCAAUGCUGCCAUCAAUGAUCGUGUGCAAGGUCAACAAACGAAAGAUGAGGGAAGAGAAGUUGAAAGUGUUUUUGCUCGAGAAAGAAGCGGUAGAGGGCAACGGAAAUCCAGCGGUUGGCAAUGAUGUCCCACAUCCAGAUCAACUAAAUCCAGAUUUACUCCCAAAUGUAGCGAUCUACUAUAAAACAUGGCAAGUAAAUGGGUCUAGUGGAAUUUUGGAAUACGUGAACGUCAAUCGAGCCGAUGAGAUGGAAGUUGUUGAGCCACGAGCACACAAGACGACAUGGCAUCGUGACAUUGCCGCUGCAAAAUGUACCCUGAUCAAAGGACACUGUGACUUGUUUGAGUUUCCGUUACCAGAAACAUUGCAGAGGCUAUCCAACCAGCGAGCUGCUGUCAACAACUAACCAGCAUCAUAGAUCGUCGUUCACGCCAUUCACAUUGAAUAAUUUAAAAAUUAAAAUAUAACAUUAUGUUCAUUCCGAUAAGCCUGAUUGUUGUGGUAUAGUAGGUGUAGCUCGAAAGAGGUCAGAAAUACCCAUAUGGGUACCUUUUAGCUGGCAAUUGUUCAUUUGUAAGCGAAACUCUUCCUCACUUUCGGAAUCAAUAUUUUGUGGUAUCCGAGUGUACAUGCCUUGUGGCAAAUCUCCGUUUCGCAUUCUUUUCAAUAACUGUUUGACCAGAUUAUUUCUAAAAGAAGAAUAAACUUUUAAAAAUUCACAUGGUUCGAGUAAUAAUCGAUAAAUGACCAAUAAAAUUACCUAUACUGA